UUUUAAUUGAAGGCUUGUAUGAAGGGUCGGACAAAGGAUAAGCUGUCUUUAAUUUUUCUUUUGAAUUUGUCUUUUAAGUGAAAAGACUUAAAUUGUUUUAAGGGACGAUAAGACCCUAUAAAGCUUUAUAUUAAUAUAUUUUUAUUUUAAUUUUUAAUGUUUAUAAAAAUAAAGGUAUAAAAUAUUAUAUUGGGGUGAUAAGAAUAAUUAAUAAACUGUUCUAAUAAAAACAAAGUUAUUUGUAAAUAUAAUAGAUCCUUUAUAUAGAUUGAAAGUUUAAGUUACUUUAGGGAUAACAGCGUUAUUUUUUUUGAGAGUUCUAAUCGAAAAAAAAGUUUGCGACCUCGAUGUUGAAUUAAAAUUUCUUUAUGGUGUAGCCGUUAUAAAAGAGAGUCUGUUCGACUUUUAAAAUUUUACGUGAUCU
rnacentral:rRNA from 1 species